ACGCUGGCGGCACGCCUAACACAUGCAAGUCGAACGAAGUAGCAAUACUUAGUGGCAGACGGGUGAGUAACAUGUAGGUAUCUGCCCUUUGGCCUGGAAUAACACGAGGAAACUUGUGCUAAUACCGGAUAAGUCUUUACGGAGAAAGCUUUAUGCACCAUUGGAUGAGCCUGCACUUGAUUAGUUUGUUGGUGGGGUAAUGGCCUACCAAGACUGUGAUCAAUAGCUGAUUUGAGAGGAUGAUCAGCCACAUUGGGACUGAGACACGGCCCAAACUCCUACGGGAGGCAGCAGUGGGGAAUCUUGCACAAUGGAGGAAACUCUGAUGCAGCGAUGCCGCGUGAGUGAAGAAGGCCCUUGGGUUGUAAAGCUCUUUCGUCGGGGAAGAAAAUGACUGUACCCGAAUAAGAAGGUCCGGCUAACUUCGUGCCAGCAGCCGCGGUAAUACGAAGGGACCUAGCGUAGUUCGGAAUUACUGGGCUUAAAGAGUUCGUAGGUGGUUGAAAAAGUUAGUGGUGAAAUCCCAGAGCUUAACUCUGGAACUGCCAUUAAAACUUUUCAGCUAGAGUAUGAUAGAGGAAAGCAGAAUUUCUAGUGUAGAGGUGAAAUUCGUAGAUAUUAGAAAGAAUACCAAUUGCGAAGGCAGCUUUCUGGAUCAUUACUGACACUGAGGAACGAAAGCAUGGGUAGCGAAGAGGAUUAGAUACCCUCGUAGUCCAUGCCGUAAACGAUGUGUGUUAGACGUUGGAAAUUUAUUUUCAGUGUCGCAGCGAAAGCGAUAAACACACCGCCUGGGGAGUACGACCGCAAGGUUAAAACUCAAAUGAAUUGACGGGGACCCGCACAAGUAGUGGAGCAUGUGGUUUAAUUCGAAGAUACGCGCAGAACCUUACCAACACUUGACAUGUUCGUCGCGACUCUAAGAGAUUAGAGUUUUCGGUUCGGCCGGACGAAACACAGGUGCUGCAUGGCUGUCGUCAGCUCGUGUCGUGAGAUGUUGGGUUAAGUCCCGCAACGAGCGCAACCCUCACUUUUAGUUGCCAUCAUUAAGUUGGGCACUCUGAAAGAACUGCCAGUGAUAAGCUGGAGGAAGGUGGGGAUGACGUCAAGUCCUCAUGGCCCUUACGUGUUGGGCUACGCACGUGCUACAAUGGUAUCUACAACAGGAAGCAAGACUGCGAAGUUAAGCAAAUCCCUAAAAGAUACCUCAGUUCGGAUUGCACUCUGCAACUCGAGUGCAUGAAGCUGGAAUUACUAGUAAUCGUGGAUCAGCGUGCCACGGUGAAUGCGUUCCCGGGUCUUGUACAC
rnacentral:rRNA from 1 species